rnacentral:rRNA from 1 species
GACGAACGCUGGCGGCGUGCUUAACACAUGCAAGUCGAACGGAAAGGCCCUGCUUUUGUGGGGUGCUCGAGUGGCGAACGGGUGAGUAACACGUGAGUAACCUGCCCUUGACUUUGGGAUAACUUCAGGAAACUGGGGCUAAUACCGGAUAGGAGCUCCUGCUGCAUGGUGGGGGUUGGAAAGUUUCGGCGGUUGGGGAUGGACUCGCGGCUUAUCAGCUUGUUGGUGGGGUAGUGGCUUACCAAGGCUUUGACAGGUAGCCGGCCUGAGAGGGUGACCGGCCACAUUGGGACUGAGAUACGGCCCAGACUCCUACGGGAGGCAGCAGUGGGGAAUAUUGCACAAUGGGCGGAAGCCUGAGGCAGCAACGCCGCGUGCGGGAUGACGGCCUUCGGGUUGUAAACCGCUUUCGCCUGUGACGAAGCGUGAGUGACGGUAAUGGGUAAAGAAGCACCGGCUAACUACGUG